CAGCAUCUUCAACAUUAAUGAUUCGUUAGUAAAUUAAUUAAAGAAUAGUAUAUAAUUUCGUCUUACUGCACUGUUUGGAAAAGAAAGAAGCCAAUGCAACUUGAAGAAAUAAUAGAAGAAGCUCUAAGGAAAUAAAUAAUAAUAGGGUACGUUGGAAUGAAUUAGUUGCUUAUACGUUAAGUUUCUACUUGUGGAUGCCCCUUAAGGAAAUAGUUUGAUCCUUCCGAAAAAUGUUAACAUUUCAAGUGUAUCAAAAUGCCAGAAAGUAAAAAUCGCCAAAAAAAAAGAGCUAGACUGUACAAAUCACCAGGAUAAGGAGAUUUAGGUAAUGAAAAACAGGGUUUCAAAUAUGAUAAAGCUGUACACCCGGUGUGAGACAAAGAAAUAUAUAGUUUAAUAAUAAUAUAACGAAUUAUCAAGUGUGCAAUUUUUUUGACAUAGGUUCUACCGUGAAUUUGGUAUGACAAGUAGAACAAUGCACCCGUGGUUC